rnacentral:rRNA from 1 species
AUUGAACGCUGGCGGCAGGCCUAACACAUGCAAGUCGAGCGGAGCGGCGGACGGGUGAGUAAUGCCUAGGAAUCUGACUGGUAGUGGGGGAUAACGUCCGGAAACGGGCACUAAUACCGCAUACUAUCAGAUGAGCCUAGGUCGGAUUAGCUAGUUGGUGGGGUAAAGGCCUACCAAGGCGAUGAUCCGUAACUGGUCUGAGAGGAUGAUCAGUCACACAGGAACUGAGACACGGUCCAGACUCCUAAGGGAGGCAGCAGUGGGGAAUAUUGGACAAUGGGCGAAAGCCUGAUGCAGCCAUGCCGCGUGUGUGAAGAAGGUCUUCGGAUUGUAAAGCACUUUCAGUAGGGAGGAGUUACCUGCGGAAUAAGCACCGGCUAACUUCGUGCCAGCAGCCGCGGUAAUAC